rnacentral:rRNA from 1 species
GUAAGGAAUAUUGGUCAAUGGACGGAAGUCUGAACCAGCCAUCCCGCGUGCAGGAUGAAUGUCCUAUGGAUUGUAAACUGCUUUUAGCAGAGACGAAACGCCUUCAUUUAUGGGGGUCUGACGGUAUCUGCGGAAUAAGCACCGGCUAACUCCGUGCCAGCAGCCGCGGUAAUACGGAGGGUGCGAGCGUUAUCCGGAAUCACUGGGUUUAAAGGGUGCGUAGGCGGGUUAUUAAGUCAGUGGUGAAAUCCUGUCGCUUAACGAUAGAACUGCCAUUGAUACUGAUAAUCUUGAAUUGGGUUGAGGUUAGCGGAAUGUGACAUGUAGCGGUGAAAUGCAUAGAUAUGUCAUGGAACACCAAUUGCGAAGGCAGCUAGCUGGGCCUUGAUUGACGCUGAUGCACGAAAGCGUGGGUAGCGAACAGGAUUAGAUACCCUUGUAGUCC